AAUGGAAUCCUCCUCCUAAGA
rnacentral:tRNA from 1 species